rnacentral:rRNA from 1 species
UACGAAGGGUGCAAGCGUUAAUCGGAAUUACUGGGCGUAAAGCGCGCGUAGGUGGUUCAGUAAGUUGGAAGUGAAAUCCCCGGGCUCAACCUGGGAACUGCUUUCAAAACUGCUGAGCUAGAGUACGGUAGAGGGUGGUGGAAUUUCCUGUGUAGCGGUGAAAUGCGUAGAUAUAGGAAGGAACACCAGUGGCGAAGGCGACCACCUGGACUGAUACUGACAUUGAGGUGCGGAAGCGUGGGGAGCAAACAGG